AUCAAAAUUUGGUGAAGGUAAAAGACAAAUUUUAUCAACAAAUAACUUAAAAACUAUUAUUAACUGAAUAGUGUUGGUGCUAGUUUUAGCAAAAUCAGCACGAAAUCAACAUCUCCUGUGAAUUUCAUUGGAAAAUUCGUAAUAUUUCUCUCAAAACAAGUGAGGGGGUAAUGCAUGGAGUCGGAGCCCCAACAAUAAAAAGAUAUUUGGCAGAAUUAGCGCCGCCCUCAAGUAGUGAUCUUAGUGUUAAUAAAGCAUUAUGAUCUGAAUAUUCCUAAGCAUGCAACUCUGCUUUUCGAACAUUUAGCAAAAUAUUCUACCAGCAACAAGUGGACAAAUUACACGCGAAAAUACAAAGGCAUCAUCAACAUAUGUGCACAAUUUGAAUGCUGCCAAAGAGCAGUUUGCUGAAGCACAGAAAAACUGAUGUGACUACGACCAUCCCAUGUUGAAGCUAUCUGGGAUAUCGCCAACUGGAAGGAUAUCGUUAAUCACCUCGUUGCCGCUGCUAAGAGAUGUUUGUGUCAUCUAAGCUUUAAGUGACCUAGAGAAGCUUACCUAUAAAAUAUGUGCAAGACAAUUAUUUGCAGCUGUUCGAAUUUGUGGGACGAGUGUUGGGCAAAGCGGUGUAUGAAGGCAUUGUUGUGGACGUGCCAUUCGGUACGUUCUUUCUCUCACAGCUUUUGGGCCAGAUACAUCAAGCGCUGUACUCCAGUAUGGAUGAGCUGCCAUCAUUGGACAACGAGCUCUAUCGCAGCCUCACAUUCAUUAAGCAUUACAAACAAGAUGUGUCUGACUUGAAUUUAACUUUUUCGGUGGAUCAGGACGUCAUGGGGAAAAUUGUGACGCACGAAUUGCAUCCCGGUAGGAAAGCUCGCGCGAUUACCGACCACAACAAACUGGUGUAUCCACUACAUGGCUUAGCUGGAAUUUAGAACAAUGUAUAUUGGGCAAUUUUUGGCAAACUACAAUGUUUUUAUUAAUGAAGCUUGGUGGAGAUGUUAGUGAGUUGUUAAGGAACACUCUUUAUAACUCCAAAUUAUUCGGGAAAUAAUAAUUUUGUAAUUAUUUGCCUUCAAAAUCCCUUUGGAACUUCACUAUAAUUUGCCACAUUACACUAUAUAUUUUUUAACACUUCUCUAAAAUUCACCAAAUAUACACUCA